AAGACACAGUCAGUUGGGGAUCAGAGGCCACACUCAUCGUAGCAGAGAGGCAGGAACAGCUGGGCGAGGGUCCUUCUGUGACAUCUACUGCAUCACUGGGCUCUGUGAAGUGACUCAGCUGCCAGAACUCACACAAUAUUCUGCACCAAAACCUCACGGGAAAAAUGCAUCACGAACCUCAGACUUAAACAGCACAACAGGCUCCUCCCAGGUCUCCAGCUACACAACCCUCAGACUUAAACAACAGCAGCGGCACCAGCUCCUCCCUGGGUCUCCAGCUCCACAAACCUCAAAUUAGAACAGCAGCACUGGCUACACCCAGUCUCCAGCUCUACACCUCUAACUUGAACUACAGCCACCAGCUCCUUCCUGGGUCUCCGGCUCCACAGACCUUAAACGAAAACAGCAGCACUGGCUCCUCCCCAGGUCCCCAGCUACAGACCCUCAAACAAGAAGAACAGCAGCACCAGCUCCACCUAAAGUCUCCAGCUCCACACCUCAAACUAGAACUUCAGCACCCGCUCCUCCCCGAGUCUCAAUAUCUGUGACCCUCAAAAUAAAACAGCAGGACCAGCUCCUCCUCUGGUCUUCAGCUUCACGACCUUAACUGUAACAGCACCACCCGCUCCUCCGGGGUCAACAGCUCCGACGCUAAAACUAGAACAGCAGACCAGCUUCUACCUAAAACACCAGCUCCGAGACUCUCAAACAAGAACAGCAGCACUGACUUCUCUCACCAGGUCUCCAGCUCCACGAUCCUGAAACUUGAACGGCAGCACCCGCUCCUCCCCGGGUCUCCAGCUCCACGAACCUCAAACUUGAACAGCAGCACCCGCUCCUCCCAGCGUCUCCAGCUCCAUGAACCUCAAACUUGAACAGCAGUACCCGCUCCUCCCCGGGUCUCCAGCUCCACGAACCUCAAACUUGAACAGCAGCACUCGCUCCUCCCAAGGUCUCCAGCUCUGCGAACCUCAAACUUGAACUGCAGCACCUGCUCCUCCCCGGGUCUCCAGCUCCACGAACCUUAAACUAAAACAGCAGUACUCACUCCUCCCCAGAUCCCCAGCUGCAGACCCUCAAGCUGCAACAGCAGCACCAUCUCCUCUCCAGGUCUCCAGCUCCAUGGACCUUAAACUAGAACAGCAGCACCAGCUCCUCCUUGGGACAACAGCUCCAAGACCCUCAAACUACAACAGCAGCCCUGACUCCUGCCCAGGUUUACAGCUCCACAAACGUCAAACUUGAACUUCAGCACUAGCUGAAGUCUCCAGCUCCCUGACCCUCAAACUAGAACAGCAGCACCAUCUCCUCUCUGGGUCUCCAGCUCCACGAACCUCAAACUUGAACUGCAGCACCUGCUCCUCCCUGGAUCUCCAGCUCCACGGACCUUAAACUAAAACAGCAGUACUCGCUCCUCCCCAGGUCCCCAGCUGCAGACCCUCAAACUGCAACAGCAGCACCAUCUCCUCUCUGGGUCUCCAGCUCCAUGGACCUUAAACUAGAACAGCAGCACCAGCUCCUCUCCUGGUCUCCAGCUCCAGGACCCUAAAACUAGAACAGCAGCACCAGCUCCUCCUUGGGACAACAGCUUUAAGACCCUCAAACUACAACAGCAGCCCUGACUCCUGCCCAGGUUUACAAACCUCAAACUUGAACUUCAGCACUGGCUGAAGUCUCCAGCCCCAUGACCCUCAAACUAGAACAGCAGCACCAUCUCCUCUCUGGGUCUCCAGCUCCAUGGACCUUAAACUAAAACAGCAGCACCAGCUCCUCCCGAGGUCCCCAUCUACAGACCCUCAAACUACAGCAGCACCAGCUCCACCCAAAGUCUCCAGCUCCCCACCUCAAACUAGAACUCCAGCACCCGCUCCUCCCCGAGUCUCAAUAUCCGCCACUCUCAAACAGCAGCACCGGCUCCUCCCCUGGUCUUCAGCUUCACGACCCUAACUAUAACAGCACCACCCGCUCUUCCGGGGUCAACAGCUCCAAGACUCUAAAACUAGAACAGCAGACCAGCUUCUACCCAGGUCACCAGCUCCGAGACUCUCAAACUAGAACAGCAGCCUUAACUUCUCGCCAAAUCUCCAACUCCACGACCCUUAAACUUGAACUGCAGCACUUGCUCCUCCCCAGGUCCCCAGCUACAGACCCUCAAACUAAACAGGAGCACUGACUUCUGCCCACAUAUCCAGCUCCACGAACCUCAAAGUUAAACUUCAGUACCAACUCCUUCCCGCGUCUCCAGCUCCACGACCCUCAAACUACAAUAGCAACACUGGCUCCCCAAUCCCAGGUCUCCAUCUCCACGACCAUCAAACUUGAGUUGCAACACUGGCUCCACCCAAAUUCUCCAGCUCCAGGAUGCUAACUGUAAUAGCAGCACCAGCUCCUCUGCAGGUCACCAGCUCCAAGACUCUCAAACUAGUACAGCAGCACUGACGCCUGCCCAGGUUUCCAGCUCCAUGAACCUCAAACUUGAACUGCAGCACCACCUCCUCCCUGGUUCUCCAGCUUCACGACCCUCAAACUAGAACAGCAGCACCAGCUCCAACCAAAGUCUCCAUCUCCACGCCUCCAACUUGAACUCCAGCACCAGCUCCUUCCUGGGUCUCAUGAUCCAUGACCCUGAAAAUAAAACAGCAGCACCAGCUCCUCUCUAGGUCUCCAGCUCCACGAACCUCAAAUUUAAAAAGCAGCCCUGGCUCUAACCCAGGUCUCCAGCUCCACCAUCGUCAAACUUGAACGGCAGCACUAGCUCCUCCCAAAGUCUCCAGCCCCACGACCCUAAAACAUGAAGAGCAGCAUUGGCUCCUCCCCAGGUCUUCAGCUUCACAACCCUAACUCUUACAGCAACACCCGCUCCUCCCCAGGUUGCCAGCUCCAAGACCCUAAAACUAGAACAGCAGACCGGCUCCUACUCAGGACACCAGCUCCAAGACUGUUAAACUAGAACAGCAGCACUGAUUUCUCACCAGGUCUCCAGCUCCACGACCCUCACACUGGAACUACAGCAACAGCUCCGCCCAGGUCUCCAGCUCCAGGGACCUUAAACUAAAAUAGCAGCACCAGCUCCUCUGCAGGUCCCCAGCUACAGACCCUCAAACUAGAAUAGCAGCACCAUCUCCUCUCCAGUUCUCCAGCUCCACGACCUUGAAACUAGAAAAGAAACACUGACUCCCCCCCACCACCAAUCUCCAUCUCCAGGAACAUCAAACUUGAACUACAACAGCGGCUCAACCCAAAGUCUCCAGCUCCCCGACACUAACUACAACAGCAGCACCAGCUCCUCCCUGGCUCACCAGCUCCAAGAUCCUCAAACCAGAACAGCAGCACUGACUCCUGCCCAGGUCACCAGCUCCAAGACCCUCAAACCAGAACAGCAGCACUGACUCCUGCCCAGGUCACCAGCUCCAAGACUCUCAAACUAGAAUAGCCACACUGACUCCUGUCCAGGUCACCAGCUCCAAGACUUUCAAACUAGAAUAGCCACACUGACUCCUGUCCAGGUUUCCAGCUCCAUGAAACUCAAACUUGAAUUGCAACACUGGCUCCUCUCCAGGUCUCCAGCCACUCAUCCCUCAAACUGUUGCUCCUCCCUGUGUCUCCAGCUUCAUGACCCUCAAACUUGAACUGGGGCACCCGUUCCUCCCCGGGUCUCCAGCUCCACGACACGUGAACUGCAGCACUUGAUCCUUCCUGAGUCUCCAGCUCCAUGACCCUUAUACUUGAACAGCAGCACCAAUUCCUGCCCAGGUCUCCAGCCUCAUGACCUUCAAAUUUAAAAAGCAGAACUGGCUCCAACCCAGGUCUCCAGCUCCACCAUCAUCAAACUUGAAUGGCAGCACUAGCUCGCCACAAAGUCUCCAGCUCCCAUGACCCUCAAAUGUGAACAGCAGCACUGGCUCCUCCCCAGGUGUUCAGUUUCACGACCCUAACUAUUACAGCAACACCUGCUCCUCCCCAGGUCACCAACUCCAAGACCCUAAAACUAGAACAGCAGACCGGCUCCUACCCAGGUCACCAGCUCCAAGACUCUCAAACUAGAACAGCAGCACUGACUUCUUGCCAGGUCUCCAGCUCCAUGACCCUCAAGCUUGAACCGCAGCAACAGCUCCACCCAGGUCUCCAGCUCCACAAACCUUAAACAACAGCACCGGCUCCUCCAGAGGUCCCCAGCUACAGACCCUCAAACUAGAACAGGAGCACUGACUCCUGCCCAGAUAUCCAGCUCCACGAACCUCAAACUUGAACUGCAGUACCAGCUCCUUCCCGGGUCUUUAGCUCCGUGACCCUGAAAAUAAAACAGCAGCACUGGCUUUUCCCCAGAUCCCCAGCUCCACGACCCUCAAAUUUAAAAAGCAGCACCAGCUCCUCCCUGGGUCAGCACCUCCAUGACCCUCAAACCUGAACUGCAGCACUGGCUCCUCCCCGGGUCACCAGAUCCCAGACCCUCAAACUAGAACAGCAGCACUGACUCCUCCCCAUAUCUCCAGCUCCAUGACCAUCAAACUUGAAGACUAGCACCAUUUCCUUUCUGGGUCUCCAGCUCCACGACCCUCAGACUUGAACAGCAGUGCCAACUCCUUUCUGGGUCUCCAGCUCCACUAUCUUCAGACUUGAACAGCAGCACCAGCUUCUCCCCAGGUCUCCAGCUCCAUGACCCUCAAACAGGAACAGCAGCACCGGCUCCUCCCUGGGUCUCCAGCUCCUCAAGUCUGAGGAUCAUGGAGCUGGAGACCCAGAAAGGCAAUGGUGCUACUCUUCAAGUCUGAGGGUCAUGGAACUGGAGACCCGGGGAGGAGCUGGUGCUACCGCUGUUCAAGUUUGAGCAUCUUGGAGCUGGAGACCCAGGGAGCCGCCACUCGAACGGUAGCUCCUCCCCCAGUCUCUAGCUCCAUGACCCUCAAACUCGAAGAGUAGCACCAUUUCCUUUCUGGGUCUCCAGCUCCAUGACCCUCAGACUUGAACAGCAGCACCAGCUCCUUUCUGGGUCUCCAGCUCUCCUAUCUUCAGACUUGAAUGGCAACACCAGCUUCUCCCCACGUCUCCAGCUCCACGACCCUCAGACUUCGACAGCAAUCCGGCUCUUCCCCUGGUCUCCAGCUCCAUGACCCUCAAACUAGAACAGCAGCACCGGUUCCUUUCUGGGUCUCCAGCUCCACGAUAUUCAGACUUGAAUGGCAGCACCAACUUUUCCCUGGGUCUUCAGCUCCAUGACCUUCAGACUUGAACGGCAGCACUGGCUCCUCCCCUCUCCAGCUCCAUGACCUUCAGACUUGAACGGCAGCGCCGGCUCCUCCCUGGGUCUCGAACCUGCCCAGCCUGCAGAUUUUGGACUUGCUAGCCUUCAGGAUCACAUUAGCCAAUUCCUUAAACUCAACCUCUUUCUCUGUAUGUAGGAUAUGGACACCUCCUGCUGGCUCUUUUUCCGGAGAGCCCAGUGAACACACCGUGCAUCAGGCUCCAUCAUUCACCAGAGCGUCUUUCCAACAGACUUUGCUGUGAUAUUUCUUAAAUAAAGGUCACUCCAAAGACCCUCACCUCUGGAUUGUAACCAACUCAGUGGCAGACUUAAUCCAUUUCUAUCUGCUGACAUUUCUCACAUGGAAUAGGCUGUUUGACAGAUUGAAGCUGUCUCCCCCCACUCCCCAGGCCAGUGCACACUUAUCUCCCUUGAAUGUUCAUUUUGUGCUCAUUUUAGAGACUGAGGCACAAAGACAGGCAAAUACAAGGUGAAGUCAGUGACAAAUAAACAAUGCUAUUUAGGCAUUGAGA
rnacentral:lncRNA from 1 species